rnacentral:tRNA from 1 species
GGGGUUUUAAUUUAAGUGUAAAAUAUAUGACUUGCAUUCAUAAAAUUUAUAACUCUA